ACGAACGCUGGCGGCAGGCCUAACACAUGCAAGUCGAACGCCCCGCAAGGGGAGUGGCAGACGGGUGAGUAACGCGUGGGAACGUGCCCUUCGGUUCGGAAUAACUCAGGGAAACUUGAGCUAAUACCGGAUACGUCCGUAAGGAGAAAGAUUUAUCGCCGAAGGAUCGGCCCGCGUCGGAUUAGCUAGUUGGUGAGGUAACGGCCCACCAAGGCGACGAUCCGUAGCUGGUCUGAGAGGAUGAUCAGCCACACUGGGACUGAGACACGGCCCAGACUCCUACGGGAGGCAGCAGUGGGGAAUAUUGGACAAUGGGCGAAAGCCUGAUCCAGCCAUGCCGCGUGAGUGAAGAAGGCCUUAGGGUUGUAAAGCUCUUUCAGCGGGGAAGAUAAUGACGGUACCCGCAGAAGAAGCCCCGGCUAACUUCGUGCCAGCCGCCGCGGUAAUU
rnacentral:rRNA from 1 species